AUGCAAGACUACUUCGCGGACAAUCCUACCUAUCCGCCGCACCUCUUCCGGAGAAGGUAUCGAAUGCGCCGAUCACUGUUCGUAAAAAUUGUGCAAGCUUGCGAGGCCAAUUCUUGACUUUUUACUCAAAGGAGAAAUGUUGCGGGCUUGUUGGGUUUUAGCACAUAUCAAAAAAUCUCCGCAGCUAUGCGGGUGAUUGCAUAUGGUAUUCCGGCUGACUAUGUCAGGCGAAGAUACUCCAAUUGA
rnacentral:rRNA from 1 species